UCACACGACGACACUAGCACUCAGUCCUCUCUGAGGCUUAGAGAAGCUAUGUAUUUAGAUGUGUUUUUCUUCUUUUGAUAUCUUCAGUAUUUAUUUGUUUCUUUUCUGUUUUUGAUCCCACCAUUUACCUUACUCUUGUCCCAAAGAAGUAUGUCAUUAUAUUUCUUUUUGAACUAUUUAGCUUCUUAACCCUGAAUCUAUGGAAGAGGGUAAAUUUUGAGGUUUCUUUGAAGAAAAUAUAAACAACUGACUUCUAAAAUCUCAAGAAUUAGAAGGACCUUAAAAGGCCAUUUUCUUCAGUAGUUUGGAUAUUCUUUAGAUCCCUUUGCUCUUAUUUUGUCUUUCACUUUUUUAAUUAAUAUGUAUAAAUGGUACAAAUUAAUGGGUUUCACUGUGACAUUUCCAUACAUGUAUAUAUCAUCCAUUGAUUAUGUCUACUGUCCCUUUCACCUUUUCUCAGUCUCCCAUUUCUCUUCACUUCCUUCCAACCCCCAAUGUGUCCCCCUUCCUAGCCCCUAAUAGUCCCUGACUUAUUUCACUCAACAUGUUCUCCAGUUCCAUCCAUUUUCCUGUAAAUGAUAGGAUUUCAUUCUUUUUUAUGAUUGAAUAAUACUCCAUUGUGCGUAUAUAUAUAUAUAUAUAUAUAUGUAUAUAUAUACAUAUACAC
rnacentral:lncRNA from 1 species